rnacentral:misc_RNA from 1 species
GAAAUGCGAUAACUAGUGUGAAUUGCAGAAUUCCGUGAAUCAUCGAGUCUUUGAACGCACAUUGUGCCCCCUGGUAUUCCGGGGGGCAUGCCUGUCCGAGCGUCAUUGCUGCCCAUCAAGCACGGCUUGUGUGUUGGGUCGUCGUCCCCUCUCCGGGGGGGACGGGCCCCAAAGGCACCGGCGGCACCGCGUCCGAUCCUCGAGCGUAUGGGGCUUUGUCACCCGCUCUGUAGGCCCGGCCGGCGCUUGCCGAACGCAAAUCAAUCUUUUUCCAGGUUGACCUCGGAUCAGGUAGGGAUACCCGCUGAACUUAAGC